rnacentral:siRNA from 1 species
UUAGGUAAAGGCUGACCAAGCC